UACAGAGGGGGCAAGCGUUGUUCGGAAUUACUGGGCGUAAAGGGCGCGUAGGCGGCCGCCUAAGUCAGACGUGAAAUCCCUCGGCUCAACCGGGGAACUGCGUCUGAUACUGGGUGGCUUGAAUUCGGGAGAGGGAUGCGGAAUUCCAGGUGUAGCGGUGAAAUGCGUAGAUAUCUGGAGGAACACCGGUGGCGAAGGCGGCAUCCUGGACCGAUAUUGACGCUGAGGAGCGAAAGCCAGGGGAGCAAACGGG
rnacentral:rRNA from 1 species